GCGCCGGUGGUGUAAUGGCGUAGAGCAUUCCCGCCCGGUCAGAGGGAGGUGCGGGUUCGAGUCCCGUCUGGCGCU
rnacentral:tRNA from 1 species